UGCAAGUCGAACGGUAACAGAACUAGCUUGCUAGUUGCUGACGAGUGGCGGACGGGUGAGUAAUACUUAGGGAUCUGCCUCUGUGUGGGGGAUAACUAUUGGAAACGAUAGCUAAUACCGCAUAACGUCUACGGACCAAAGAGGGCUUCGGCUCUCGCGCAGAGAGGAACCUAAGCGAGAUUAGCUUGUUGGUGAGGUAAAGGCUCACCAAGGCGACGAUCUCUAGCUGUUCUGAGAGGAAGAUCAGCCACACUGGAACUGAGACACGGUCCAGACUCCUACGGGAGGCAGCAGUGGGGAAUAUUGCACAAUGGGGGCAACCCUGAUGCAGCCAUGCCGCGUGUGUGAAGAAGGCCUUCGGGUUGUAAAGCACUUUCAGUUGUGAGGAAAGGUUAGUAGUUAAUACCUGCUAGCUGUGACGUUAACAACAGAAGAAGCACCGGCUAACUCCGUGCCAGCAGCCGCGGUAAUACGGAGGGUGCGAGCGUUAAUCGGAAUUACUGGGCGUAAAGCGUUCGUAGGCGGUUUAUUAAGCAAGAUGUGAAAGCCCAGGGCUCAACCUUGGAACUGCAUUUUGAACUGGUAGACUAGAGUACUG
rnacentral:rRNA from 1 species